rnacentral:rRNA from 1 species
UACGUAGGUGGCAAGCGUUGUCCGGAUUUACUGGGCGUAAAGAGCGCGCAGGCGGUCGUUCAAGUCGCGUGUGAAAGCCCCCGGCUCAACUGGGGAGGGUCACGCGAUACUGAUCGACUCGAAGGCAGGAGAGGGUAGUGGAAUUCCCGGUGUAGUGGUGAAAUGCGUAGAUAUCGGGAGGAACACCAGUGGCGAAGGCGGCUCACUGGUCCGGUACUGACGCUCAGGCGCGAAAGCUAGGGGAGCGAACAGG